AGGACGAACGCUGGCGGCGCGCUUAAUACAUGCAAGUCGAACGAGAAGCCAGAGCUUGCUCUGGUGGAAAGUGGCGAACGGGUGAGUAACACGUGAGAAACCUGCCCCAAAGAUUGGGAUAAGCCUUGGAAACGAGGUCUAAUACCAAAUACCUUCCUUUUAACACAUGUUAAAAGAGAAAUGCUCCGGCGCUUUGGGAUGGUCUCGCGAUCUAUCAGCUUGUUGGUGAGGUAACGGCUCACCAAGGCAUCGACGGAUAGCUGGUCUGAGAGGAUGUCCAGCCACAUUGGAACUGAGACACGGUCCAAACUCCUACGGGAGGCAGCAGUAGGGAAUCUUGCACAAUGAGGGAAACCUUGAUGCAGCGACGCCGCGUGCGGGACGAAGGCCCUAGGGUUGUAAACCGCUUUCAGUAGGGACGAAAGUGACGGUACCUACAGAAGAAGCCCCGGCCAACUAUGUG
rnacentral:rRNA from 1 species